rnacentral:rRNA from 1 species
UACGAAGGGGGCUAGCGUUGCUCGGAAUGACUGGGCGUAAAGGGCGCGUAGGCGGAUGGCACAGUCAGAUGUGAAAUUCCCGGGCUUAACCUGGGGGCUGCAUUUGAUACGUGUUGUCUAGAGUGAGGAAGAGGGUUGUGGAAUUCCCAGUGUAGAGGUGAAAUUCGUAGAUAUUGGGAAGAACACCGGUGGCGAAGGCGACACACUGGCCCAUUACUGACGCUGAGGCUCGAAAGCGUGGGGAGCAAACAGG